rnacentral:rRNA from 1 species
CCUACGGGAGGCAGCAGUGGGGAAUAUUGCACAAUGGGGGAAACCCUGAUGCAGCGACGCCGCGUGAGUGAAGAAGUAAUUCGUUAUGUAAAGCUCUAUCAGCAGGGAAGAAAAUGACGGUACCUGAGUAAGAAGCCCCGGCUAACUACGUGCCAGCAGCAGCGGUAAUACGUAGGGGGCAAGCGUUAUCCGGAUUUACUGGGUGGAAAGGGAGCGUAGAAGGCAGUGCAAGUCUGGAGUGAAAGGCGGGGGCUCAACCCCCGGACUGCUCUGGAAACUGUACGGCUGGAGUGCAGGAGAGGUAAGUGGAAUUCCUAGUGUAGCGGUGAAAUGCGUAGAUAUUAGGAGGAACACCAGUGGCGAAGGCGGCUUACUGGACUGUAACUGACGUUGAGGCUCGAAAGCGUGGGGAGCAAACAGGAUUAGAUACCCCUGUAGUC